UAGGGAUGUGCUGCUCACAACCAAGCAUGAAAAAUCACCACACCGAGAUUUGUAUGCAAUUUUUUGAAGCAUUGUAGUUUUAGAGUUAUUCUCUAUCUAUCUUGGAUUUGUCGUCGCAUGGUUAUGUACUCUGAUUGCAAGAAGCACAUAUGGAGUUAGUAAGAAGCAACACACACCUCCGACUCCAGGUAAUAGGUUAGUGUGUCAAACGCCACUCCAAGGGAUAUUUUCAUUGUUUGAAACAUUGUAGUUAUAAAUUUCUUCUCUAUAGCUUUUAGAUUUAUUCAUCGGAUUUUGCUAACUUCAUUACAUGGUUACGCACUCUGAUUGCAGGAAACACGUCAGAAGUUAGCAAGAAACAUCAUUUUUGUCCACAUGGCGACAAUGCAAGGGACUGGGUCCUCACAUUUUUGCUUGCAAUUUGUGACAACCUUGUAGAGGGUGUAGUUCUUCCUGACGAGCAUGGAAGCAAAUUGAAGAUUUAAUGAAGACAUGUGCUCAUCACGAUGGAAACAUUCCCCACUUUAUUUGAACUUUUAUUAUUUUUAGUGGGGAAAAUAUAUAUUUGUACGGAAGCAAUUCCCUAGUGUAAAAAUAGGAUCAUAAUC
rnacentral:lncRNA from 1 species